UCACAUUAACAUAUAGAUGCUUACUACAAGGAUUUUCAUUUAUCGAAAUUAGAAAAGUAGUUUUCCUUAUUUUUUUGUACCUGUUUUAAAAUAUAUUUUGAUCAGAUAUAUAGUGCCCCAGUCAAGAUCGCUCUUUCAAAUUUGUGCGUUUUCAUCGGAUUAAAAUUGUUAAAAUAAAGCGAAAACCUUUGGAAUUCCGCAAGGUAUUCUCAAUUGCAUUCUAUUUUUUAAUUUAUUCUAGAAAUAAUUUAGACUUAUGUUGUCUUUAGUCAAUGGAUAUUAAUCAUUACUUUAGAUCUUAAUUACAAGCCAUGGGAACGAUGGACAAGCAGAGCGCUGUAGAAUACAUCAACCAGAUGUUCCCUACAGGUUGUUUAUCUCUUUACACAAACGAAUUUACAUUUUGCAUGCGUGUGUUCUCCUUGGUUGGGUUGUUUUGUUGUACAUUCUCUGCAGAAACUCUCAUUGGAACCAGUCCAGAAUCAUGAAAAUAAAUAAAUAG
rnacentral:lncRNA from 1 species